UACAGAGGGGGCAAGCGUUGUUCGGAAUUACUGGGCGUAAAGGGCGCGUAGGCGGCCUGCUAAGUCGAACGUGAAAUCCCCGAGCUCAACUCGGGAACUGCGUUCGAUACUGACAGGCUUGAAUCCGGGAGAGGGAUGCGGAAUUCCAGGUGUAGCGGUGAAAUGCGUAGAGAUCGAGAGGAACACCCGUGGCGAAGGCGGCUCCCUGGCCGAACACUGACGCUGAGACGCGAAAGCGCGGGGAGCGAACGGG
rnacentral:rRNA from 1 species